rnacentral:lncRNA from 1 species
CGUUCGGGAAAAGAGGGAGUCGAGGGGAAAAGGGGGGAGGCGGGAGAGAGGGGGCGCCUAGAGAGUUCGAAGUGGCGAAUGAAGCUCGCAGGGUUGGGGUUUUGCAGUUUUUGUGGGAGAAACGAGGAGGGGAGGUCGGGUAUAGAUUUGUGAAUUUUUUUGGGCCGGGUUGGGCUGGGCUGGGCUGGACUGGACUGGCACAUCAACCAAAAAGAGCUAACAUCUGCACCAUCUAGGUUGUGUUGAGGUGUGAUUUGGGCAGUUUGAAGCAGUGUUUUUCUUUUUCUCAAUUGAUAUAGUUUUCUCUUUGUUUUCGCAUCCAACAUGUUUGCGGUUCAAGUCAACGUGUAAGAUUUGUAUGUGGGAAUUAUCAACGCAUGAAAUGUGUAUGUAGGAAGUUUUAGCCAUAUAUAUUUAAAAUAUAUUAGGGUGUGUUUAUGUUUCACAUAAAACUGUGGAAAAAAAAAUUCGGUGGAAAAAAUGUUUUACGUUGUCUAUGUUUGGUUUGUAGAAAAAGAAAAGUAGUUUUCCACGAUGAUUGUUUGGUUGAAAGGAAAAAAAAAGUUAUAAAUAAAAAUUAUUAUAUAUAUUUUUUCAUUUUACAUUUUUUAUAUUAUUAAUAUAUAAUUAUUAUCCUAUUAUAUAUAUUAGUAUUAUAGUUUAUAUUUAUAAAUAAAAUAUAUUUAAAACAUAUUAUGUAAUAAUUAAAUAUAUAAUAUAAUAUAUAAUAGUAUAUAUUUAAUACUAUAAAAUAAAUUACUGGAUAUAAAAUAUUAUAUAAUACAUAUAUUUAUAAAUAAAAUAUUAUUUUUAAAAUAUUUAUACAUAUAUAAAUAUAUAUAUUUAUAUAUAUAUAUAUUAUAUAUAUUAUAUACAUAAGAAAGGAAGAUGGGGGAGAAAGGUCUACCGCACUCCAGUGGACCUCUCUCAAAAAUUUUUUCGAGAACUAGCUAUUACAGAGAUAGGUACAAGUAUGGGGAUAAGAAAAAUAGCGUUUGGAUGAAAAUUAGGUUGUUCCCGGGGAUAAGAAAAAUAUUAGGUAGUUUUAUAUAGAAAAUGAAGGUGUUGGUGGGGAUAACUGAGAACUACUAUUCUCGGGUAAAAAAUUUGCGUUUGGGUAUAAAGGGGGGAUAAGGGCCUAUCCCUAUCCCUAUCCCCUAACCAAACACUGCCAGAGAGUUCGAAGUGGCGAAUGAAGCUCGCAGGGUUGGGGUUUUGCGGUUUUUGUGGGAGAAACGAGCAGGGGAGGUCGGGUAUAGAUUUGUGAACUUUUUUGGGCCGGGUUGUGCUGGGCUGGGCUGGCACAUCAACCAAAAAGAGCUAACAUCUGUACCAUCUAGGCUGUGUUAAGGUGUUAUUUUUGGGCGGUUUAAAUUUUGAAGCAGUGUUUUUAUUUUUCUCAAUUGAUGUAGUUUUCUCUUUGU